UAACUACGGGACGUAGCAGUGAGGAAUAUUGGUCAAUGGGCGGAAGCCUGAACCAGCCAAGUCGCGUGAGGAAAUAAGGCCCUGCGGGUCGCAGACCUCUUUGGACGGGGAGCAAGGCCGCCGACGUGUCGGCGGAAGGAGAGUACCCGUAGAACAAGCAUCGGCUAACUCCGUGCCAGCAGCCGCGGUAAUACGGAGGAUGCGAGCGUUAUCCGGAUUUAUUGGGUUUAAAGGGUGCGCAGGCGGCACGGCAAGCCGGCGGUCAA
rnacentral:rRNA from 1 species